GAGUAGCUGGGAGUACAGAUGCACACCACCACACCCAGCCUAGAAUGAAGAAACCUGCAGUUGGGAAGCAUGAAUUUACCACCUAUUAAGAUCUGGCUGCUGUGUGGAGAAAGAGUGAAGAUACGGAAGUUGGAGGUUCUCGUAGCAAUGCAGAUCCCCUUUUAUUUUUCAGAAUUGUGGCUUGCAUUGUAAGAGGAGCCUGUGAAUUCAGAGGCAAGUCUGCUGAGGACCGAAUGUUCCUGUCCAUAAAAACAGAAGUCUGGCCUGGGCUCCUCUCUUGGGUGAAUUUGCAAUGCCAGAUCCUCUCUAUCAGUUUGGUUUUGUUUCUUGUAUCUCUGGGAAGGCAGGCAGACAGCACGGUCACCUGUGAAUGCAGCUACAAUUGGCUUAGCUGCCUCACUGAUAAAUGUGCCCCCAGUAAGCUACAAAGGGAUUACCAGCGUUCUCAGCAGCUAAAGGAACUGGUGAAGAUUUCCCCAGCAAAAAGUAGAAGCUCAGUGUUUCAUAGAUGAAGACUGGGGAGAUUGCAAAAGACCCAUCCAGGAUUCUUACUUUGAGUAGCCAACUUGCAGAAUACAAUAGAAUUUUGGGAGGAGCCCCUCGAUGCCUGGCUUUACUGUUGGAGAGACAGUACAGUAUACACCAGAUGACUUAUUUGUGAACCAUGGAAACGUUUGGAAAAGAGUCUCACUUUGUCGCCCAGGCUGGAGUACAGUGGUGCGAUCUUGGCUCUCUGCAACCUCUGCCUCCCAGGUUCAAGUAAUUCUCCUGCCUCAGCCUCCCGAGUAGCUGGUACUACAGGCACACAUUUGUAGAGAUGGUGUUUCCCCAUGUCAUCCAGGCUGGUCUGGAACUCCUGGGAUCAAGUAAUCCACCCGCCUCGGCCUCCCAAAGUGCUGGGAUUACAGACGUGAGCCACCACGCCCUGCCAAUAAAAAGAUUAUCUCC
rnacentral:lncRNA from 1 species